AUUGAACGCUGGCGGCAGGCUUAACACAUGCAAGUCGAGCGGAGAUGAGGUGCUUGCACCUUAUCUUAGCGGCGGACGGGUGAGUAAUGCUUAGGAAUCUGCCUAUUAGUGGGGGACAACAUUCCGAAAGGAAUGCUAAUACCGCAUACGUCCUACGGGAGAAAGCAGGGGAUCUUCGGACCUUGCGCUAAUAGAUGAGCUUAAGUCGGAUUAGCUAGUUGGUGGGGUAAAGGCCUACCAAGGCGACGAUCUGUAGCGGGUCUGAGAGGAUGAUCCGCCACACUGGGACUGAGACACGGCCCAGAUUCCUACGGGAGGCAGCAGUGGGGAAUAUUGGACAAUGGGCGGAAGCCUGAUCCAGCCAUGCCGCGUGUGUGAAGAAGGCCUUUUGGUUGUAAAGCACUUUAAGCGAGGAGGAGGCUACCUAGAUUAAUACUCUGGGAUAGUGGACGUUACUCGCAGAAUAAGCACCGGCUAACUCUGUGCCAGCCGCCGCGGUAACAC
rnacentral:rRNA from 1 species